CCUGGGAGGCAGCAGUGGGGAAUAUUGCACAAUGGGGGGAACCCUGAUGCAGCGACGCCGCGUGGGUGAAGGAGUAUUUCGGCAUGUAAAGCCCUAUCAGCAGGGAAGAAUAAUGACGGUACCUGACUAAGAAGCACCGGCUAAAUACGUGCCAGCAGCCGCGGUAAUACGUAUGGUGCAAGCGUUAUCCGGAUUUACUGGGUGUAAAGGGAGCGCAGGCGGCGCGUUAAGCCUGGUGUGAAAGCCCGCGGCCCAACCGCGGGACUGCAUUGGGAACUGGCGCGCUGGAGUGCCGGCGGGGUAGG
rnacentral:rRNA from 1 species